AAGAAAACAGGAUUGCCCAGUAACGGCGAGUGAAGCGGCAAAAGCUCAAAUUUGAAAUCCUGCGGGAAUUGUAAUUUGAAGGUUUCGUGGCCUGAGUCGGCCGCGCCCAAGUCCAUUGGAACAUGGCGCCUGGGAGGGUGAGAGCCCCGUCCGGCGCACGCCGACUCUUUGCACCGCGGCUCCGACGAGUCGAGUUGUUUCGGAAUGCAGCUCUAAGUGGGUGGUAAAUUCCAUCUAAAGCUAAAUAUUGGCGAGAGACCGAUAGCGAACAAGUACAGUGUUGGAAAGAUGAAAAGCACUUUGAAAAGAGAGUGAAACAGCACGUGAAAUUGUUGAAAGGGAAGGGCUUGCAAGCAGACACGGUUUUACCGGGCCAGCGUCGGAAAAGGGGGAGGAACAAGAACUCGAGACUGUGGCGCGCACCUUCGGGUGCGCGUGUUAUAGCUCGUGUCGACGCCUCCAUCCUUUUUCGAGGCCUGCGAUUCUAGGACGCUGGCGUAAUGGUUGCAAGCGGCCCGUCUUGAAACACGGACCAAGGAGUCUAACGUCUAUGCGAGUGUUUGGGUGCAAAACCCACCGCGGAAUGAAAGUAAGAGGUUGGAGCCGCAAGGCGCACAAUCGACCCACCCUGAAGUGCUCG
rnacentral:rRNA from 1 species